UAAAAUAGUCCUUGACAUAUUGUUGUUAAUUACAGUGAAUUAGAUACAACAAGAAGACUCAAAUGGAGAGUAGAGAUCACUCUGAUCAACCGAAACCGGCAGGACAACAAGAUGGACAACCAAAAGAAGAAAAGGAGAACUUGAAGGGAGAAGCAUUCAACUAUGAUGACAUUCUGGAACACUUGGGACAAAUAGGAAAAUUCCAGUUGCGAACUGUUUUGUGGCUAAUUGUACCGGCGCUAUUUCCAGCUUUCGUCACCAUGUCACUCACUUUCACUGGCGGUGUACCCGAUUACAGAUGUUUCGUUGACGGUUGUGAUGAAGUCGAAUCACAAGGACAGGACGGAAUGGAUUAUUUUUCCCCUCCUUGGUUGAAUAACACCAUUCCCGGAUGGGAAGGCGAGUCUUCAUCAACUGAUAACCGAGUAAAGAAACAAUGUUACGUUUACAACCAUACAUGGAACAAUGUUGAAGAGUGUCUCGCCGGCAGCGACGUCGGUAUCGAUCAAGAAAUACAAUGCAACGAAUGGGUCUACGAUGACUCAAUAUUUGGGUCUACUGUAGUCACUGAUUUUGAACUAGUCUGUGACGACGAGAAUAAGCGCCCCAUUCCUGGCAUGGCUUACAUGGCCGGCAACGUCUUCGGUCCCGUAUUGUUUGGAUUUCUAUCAGACAAAACUGGUAGAAAACCAGCGUUUACACUGAGCGUCAUACUUUUGUCCAUUUUGGUCACAAGUGCAGCUUUUUCAACGAAUAUAAUAACUUUUAGCGUACUACGAUUUUUAAGCGCAAUCUGCAAUAUUGGGUUCUUCGACAUUUAUUUUGUCUGGGGUGUUGAAGCCGUCGGGGGAAAAUACCGAGUUGCUGUUGGUUUUAUGUUCCAAGUGCUUUUCACGACAGGUGCUGCCGUGUUGGGUAUCAUCGCUUACUUUGUAAGAGAUUGGCGUAAACUACAUCUUAUUAUGGGAGUUCCCAUUUUCACAUUUGUUUCUCUAUACUGGAUGGUACCGGAAUCGAUUCGGUGGUUGAUUGCGAAGAAACGUUACAAAGAAGCAAAAGAAUUAAUCUUGAAAGCAUCAAAAGUGAACAAGAAAUCAAUUCCUGAUCACUUGCUUGUUAUUCCCAAUCAACAUCUAUCAGAACAACAAGAAAAAGAGAUGGCCGUAUUCACUAUCCAAUCUGAAGAAAUAUUGAUCAAGGAAAAUAGAACGACUACCACAAUGGAUUCUACUGAAAAUAGCGAAGAAGGCGUUAUGGACAUUUUACGGUCCACGGUUAUGGUCAAAAGAAUCGUUAUAUUAAUGACGGCUUGGUUUGCAUGUGUGAUGAGUUAUUACGGCAUCACAUUUGCGGCAAACAACAUAUCUCGCAACUUUUACAUCAAUUAUGAGCUGAUUAUUGGAGAUUCCAGCUUACGUAUUCUUCAUCUACAUAACAGAAAAAAUUGGCAGAAGACUCACCAUAAGUGCAGGGCUGAUGAUCAGUGGUUUAGGCUGUCUUAUAACUGGGCUGCUCCCAGCAGAUCAGGAGGUUAUGCAAGUUGUUUUCUCGUUAAUUGGAAAGUUUUUCGUUUCGACCGUUCUGGCAGCACUCUAUGCGGGAACCAUUGAAUUAUUUCCGACGGAAACAAGAGCGAUAGCUAUGGGGAUAUGCUCUACAUUCGGACGAUUUGGGGGAAUUGUGGCACCUCUUUUAGCCGACGCUGGUAGCAGGAUUGAUCCCGCUUUACCUUACAUCAUUUUUGCUAUAGCUAAUAUCGCUGUCGGCGUGUUGUGUUUUUUACUGCCGGAAACAAAAAAUCUCCCACUUCCUAAUAAUAUUCAAGAAGCCAUCGACAUGG
rnacentral:misc_RNA from 1 species